GGAUAUGAGGGGCGUUCUGGCUGCGACAUCUGUCACCCAUUGAUCACCAGAGUUGAUUUCUGCUGAUCUGACUGGCUAGGCGGGUGUCCCCUUCCUUCCUCACCACUCAUGUGCGUCCCUCCUGAAGCUGCGUGCUCGGUCAAAGUGGACGACAUGCUGAUAGAGCAAGGACUGUUCUUCGUGUCAAGGGUAUAUGAGUAGCUGCGCUUCCGCUGCUAGAACCCAAACAAGCUCUAUUACCAAGAUACAUACUGUUAUAAUUGUAUUUGCUAUCUUUUUAUACCACUGACAGUGCAGUAGGUUUCUUAUA
rnacentral:snRNA from 1 species